rnacentral:rRNA from 1 species
CCUACGGGAGGCAGCAGUGGGGCAUAUUUGGCAAUGGAGGAAACUCUGACCCAGCAAUGCCGCGUGAAUGAAGAAGGUCUUCGGAUUGUAAAGUUCUUUAGUCAGGGAAGAAGUCAAUGACGUUACCUGAAGAAUAAGCUCCGUCUAACUACGUGCCAGCAGCCGCGGUAAUACGUAGGGAGCAAGCGUUGUUCGGACUGACUGGGCGUAAAGGGUGCGUAGGCGGUUGUACAAGUUAGAAGUGAAAUACCCAGGGCUUAACUCGGGUGCUGCUUCUAAAACUGUAUGACUUGAGUGCAGUAGAGGUUAGUGGAAUUCCUAGUGUAGCGGUGGAAUGCGUAGAUAUUAGGAGGAACACCAGAGGCGAAGGCGGCUAACUGGACUACAACUGACGCUGAGGCACGAAAGUGUGGGUAUCAAACAGGAUUAGAUACCCGUGUAGUC